AUCUGCACACAACGUCCGCUUCGGUGGCCAGCAGGUCGACCACUUUCCCUUUGCCCUCGUCGCCCCAUUGCGCGCCGAGCACCACCGUCACGUUGUUCCCUCCGUCGUUGCGCGGUCGCUUGGGUCCCGUCGCGGCGGGCUGGUUGGUGUUUUUGUGCUCUUUGGCCGACCAACUGAGCGACAUGACAGUGGAGGCUUCGUGCUGGCCGUCUCAAAAGGACUGGCUGUCUACCCGAGGCGGCACUGCCAUAUCUGGAAGGCUGCAGACGGCGACGUCACAGCGUCGUGUGGCAAGGGACAACUGUAAUGGUCCAUCCAUCCAUCCAUUUUCUACCGCUUGUCCCUUUUUGGGUAGCGGGGGGUGCUGGAGCCUAUCUCAGCUGCAUUCGGGCGGAAGGCGGUGUACACCCUGGACAAGUCGCCACCUCAUCGCAGGGCCAACACAGACAACAUUCACACUCACUGUGGUGGGCGUGGCCUGCGCACCUGCAGCGAAGCGGGGUAUGACAGAACCGGCUUCGAGAUUAGCGACAGGCGGCAGUCGGGAAGGAGUGUUGGUGAAUGGCAGUUGACGGAGCACGACAAACCACUCUAGAGAAAAGACAUUGGCGGAAAAGCACAAAAAAACUUUUGCUAGAAGAAGUGAACAAUAAAUAUUAUUGG